GAUGAACGCUAGCUACAGGCUUAACACAUGCAAGUCGAGGGGCAGCAUGAACUUAGCUUGCUAAGUUUGAUGGCGACCGGCGCACGGGUGAGUAACACGUAUCCAACCUGCCGAUGACUCGGGGAUAGCCUUUCGAAAGAAAGAUUAAUACCCGAUGGCAUAGUUCUUCCGCAUGGUAGGACUAUUAAAGAAUUUCGGUCAUCGAUGGGGAUGCGUUCCAUUAGCUUGUUGGCGGGGUAACGGCCCACCAAGGCAUCGAUGGAUAGGGGUUCUGAGAGGAAGGGCCCCCACAUGGGAACUGAGACACGGUCCAA
rnacentral:rRNA from 1 species